GGCCAUUGUUAUAUUAUAGUUCGUUUCUGUGUGUGUUACAUUUUAAUGUUGCGUCGUUUGUUUUCUCUUAUUUUUGAGUGUAAAUUCACAUUGCUAUAAGACGUGUCACUGUACUUGUCUAUCCCAAAUUCAUGUAUUUGGUUUUGAUGUUAUAUUUGUUAUUCUCGUGGGAUUUUGUCUGAUGCUUGGUCCGUUUCUGUGUGUGUUACAUUGUAAUGUUGAAUCGUUGUUCUCCUCUUAUAUUUAAUGCGUUUCCCUCAGUUUUAGUUUGUUACCCC
rnacentral:lncRNA from 1 species